AGCCAAGCCCAGCGCGCGGCGCGGAGGUUCUAAUGAAAGUUUCACCUCACCCAUCUUGACACUGAGUUCUCUGAGAGCUCCACAGAUUACUUCCUUACCCAAAUGCAUCCUGGACAAGAAACUCUCCCAUAGCUCUGGGAUGCCACCCAUGAGAGAACCACUCACCUCUCCACUCCAUGUGUGAGGAAGUUCUAUCUUGUGUUCAUAUGGAAUCUGCUUCCUGGACCUUCCAUCCACUGCUCCUCUUGUUCCCACAAACAUCUAUUCCUUCUGUGUGUCAGUUCUUCAACUAUUUGAAGCCAGCCAUCAAAACCCAUGUAGACCUUCACUUCUCCAGGUGAAACAGCCUCAGUUCAUCAGUCCUCAACCUCCUGCUCAUUCUGCAGUAUGUGUUGUCUAGCUCACCCAUUUCUUCUGUGCCCGGGCUAUUCUGGGUUAUUCCCCAUAGAAGGCCUCCCUUCCUCAGCCUUUAAACACUUGAAAUCCUAAAAGAUGAUGCUGUGAAAGUGCUGCACUCAAUAUGCCAGCAAAUUUGGAAAACUCAGCAAUGACCAGAACUGGAAAAGGUCAGUUUUCAUUCCAAUACCAAAGAAGGACAAUGCCAAAGAAUGCUCAAACUAUUGCACAAUUGCACUCAUCUCACAUGCUUGCAAAGUAAUGCUCAAAAUUCUCCAAGCCAGGCUUCAAUAGUACCUGAACCAAGAAAUUACAGAUGUUCAAGCUGGAUUUAGAAAAGGCACAAGAACCAGAGAUCAAAUUGCCAACAUCUGUUGGAGCAUAGAAAAAGCAAGAGAGUUCCAGAAAAACAUCUACUUCUUUAUUGACUAUGCCAAAGACUUUGAUUGUGUAUAUCAUAACAAACUGUGGAAAAUUCUGAAAGAGAUGGGAAUACCAGACCACCUGACCUGCUUCCUUAGAAAUCUGUAUGCAGGUCAAGAAGCAACAGUUAGAACUAGACAUGGAACAACAGACUGGUACCAAAUAGGGAAAGGAGUACGUCAAGGCUGUAUAUUGUCACCCUGUUUAUUUAAUUUAUAUGCAGAGUACAUCAUGUGAAAUGCCAGGUUGGAUGAAGCACAAGCUGGAAUCAAGUUUGCUGGGAGAAAUAUCAAUAACCUCACACACGCAGAUGACACCACCCUUUGGCAGAAAGCGAAGAAGUUUCUCUUGAUGAAAGUGAAAGAGGAAAGUGAAGCAGUUGGCUUAAAACUCAACAUUCAGAAAACUAAGAUCAUGGCAUCUGGUCCCAUCACUUCAUGGGCAAAUAGACGGGGAAACAAUGGAAACAGAGACUAUU
ensembl:lncRNA